rnacentral:misc_RNA from 1 species
AUUUUUAGCAAUUGUUUAGUCUGUCGGUAAUUGUUUACAUGGGAAAGAAAAAGAAACGAGCGACAACUACUCCUAAGAAUACUAACAAAACCUGAAAAAUAUGGGUAGCUGUGAUGUUGCAAUUGACUGCAUAGAAGAUUAAGAAAUAGUUUCUCAAUAGAAAAAUACUAACCUCGCUUUCAAGUGCGCUGGCUUCAACUCAUUUACUAAUAUUAAAUUUAGAACCAUCAAUCAUUAAAUUUUUUUUAUAAUUUAGUCAAAGACUUUGAUUUCACCCAUAAAUAUUGCUGCAAUCAUCUUCUGCUUUCAACUUUUGCUUCAACCCAUUUCUUUCAUCUUUGCGAGAAGGAGACCAUGGCUGAAAUGA